rnacentral:rRNA from 1 species
GCAGGUUGAAGCGCGGGUAAGACCGCGUGGAGGACCGAACCCACCUGGGUUGAAAACCGGGGGGAUGACUUGGGGCUAGGGGUGAAAGGCCAAUCAAAUUCCGUGAUAGCUGGUUCUCUCCGAAAUGCAUUUAGGUGCAGCGUCGGUCGAUUGCGUCGCGGGGGUAGAGCUACCGGAUGCUUGCGGGCCCUUGUUGGGUACCAACAGCAGCCGAACUCCGAAUACCGUUGACGUGUAUUCCGGCAGUGAGUCGGCGGGGGAUAAGCUCCGUCGUCGAGAGGGAGACAGCCCAGACCGUCGUCUAAGGUCCCGAAGCGUGUGCUAAGUGGGAAAGGAUGUGGAGUCGCAUAGACAGCCAGGAGGUUGGCUCAGAAGCAGCCAUCCUUGAAAGAGUGCGUAACAGCUCACUGGUCUAGUGGUUCCGCGCCGACAAUGUAGCGGGGCUCAAGCACACCACCGAAGACGCGGCAGCAAUCUUCAUGGUUGCUGGGUAGGAGAGCGUCCUGCGAGGGGCGAAGCGGCGGUGGAAACCGGCCGUGGACUUCGUGGGAGUGAGAAUGCAGACAUGAGUAGCGAGAGACGGGUGAAGAUCCCGUCCGCUGGAUGACCAAGGGUUCCAGGGCCACGUUCAUCGUCCCUGGGUGAGUCGGGUCCUAAGGCGAGGCCGACAGGCGUAGUCGAAUGGAUGAACGGGUGGAUAUUCCCGUACCGACCAUGGACCGGCAAAACCGAGACGGUGAGUACUAACCUCCGCCUCGUGGUGGUUCCUUCCUUCGGGUUGGUAUCGCCGCGUGGUGUUGGGACCGUAGCCGUAGUAGGUCAGCGCAGGGGUGACACGGAAUGGGAGCCGGCCGCGGAGGUGGUUUUCCGUGGUCAAGCACGCAGCCAGUCAUGUAGGCAAAUCCGCAUGGCGCGCAUGGCGAGGUGUGAUGAUGGGAGCCGUUAUGGCUCGAUAUCCGGUUGUCCAGGCCGUCGAGAAAAGCCUCGGCGUGAGGGCCAUGGCCGCCCGUACCCCAAACCGACACUGGUGGUCAGGUAGAGAAUACCAAGGCGAUCGAGCGAAUCCUGGUCAAGGAACUCGGCAAAUCACUCCCGUUCCUUCGGUUUAAGGGAGACCCCCGAUGGUGAACACACUUGCUGUGGGAGCUUUUGGGGGUGGCACAGACCAGGGGGUAGCGACUGUUUACCAAAAACACAGGUGCAUGCGAAGGCGAAAGCCGCUGUAUAUGCACUGACGCCUGCCCGGUGCCGGAAGGUUAAGAGGAUCCGUCAGUCCCUUCGGGGACGAAGCGGUGAAUUCAAGCCCCGGUAAACGGCGGUGGUAACUAUAACCAUCCUAAGGUAGCGAAAUUCCUUGUCGGGUAAGUUCCGACCUGCACGAAUGGCGUAACGA